rnacentral:lncRNA from 1 species
CCAUCCUCGCCCCUGUGGCGGAAAUGGGAGGGUGCCUGGAGGAGUGGAGGGAUUGGAUUUACACCCUCUUUUCCCUCCGAAGCCUCCUUGGUGGGGGCGAAGAAAGACCAUCCAACCCUGCCAAAGGCAAAAGGAUUAAGGAUAAAUGAAAGCAAGAUAAUGUAGAAGAACUACUUAGCUGCUGGGUUUUUGGAGAUGAGUGAUUUUUUUUUGUAGGGAGAAAUUAUGAAACACAUUGAAAUGGACAAAAAAUUACUGAAUGUCUUCAAUGAAAAAACAGCCAUAGUUUGGCACACCGUCCCGGGCAUUCUGUUGCUAGAGGGGCUGUCCGCUUUUCUUUGUGGUGCUCUGCACAACUCGUUCCCUCUGGAAAGGCAUCAGGGGAGGCAUUUGGGAAAGCUGGCACUUUCCUUUUGCCCUUCACAUCACAUGAUUGAUUGGAAAAAUGGGAAAUGACAAGUGGCAUCAACAAGCGGGGCAAAGAGCUAGCCCAGUCAACCUACGAUGGGCCCCAUUCAAGGGGCACAGAGGGACAGAGGGACAGAAGGCUGAAGACUGGCUGGCUGGGGUGCAGCGAUGCUACAGAACGCCCCAUGGGACUUGGCAUGAAUAGGAAGCGUGGCCAGCUUAGGGCCAGGCAAGAAGCAUUCAGUUCAGAUCAGGGAAGAGCAUGGGGCCCUUGGACAUCCUCAGGUAUCUUGCAGAGUGAGCCUCUUCUCUGGAGACUUUGCAGCAGGUCCUAGCUUUGCCUGCUCUACCCAUCAUGGUAACCACAGCCUGGUGUGUCUGGAAAACUGCUAGUUCAGCAUGGUGCAGCUCGGAUGGCCUUGGGGUGUGGUGGGCCAUGAAACUGAAGGGCAGUGUGGGAGUCGGGGGCACACUCACAAUAUAAAUUUGCAACUGGGACGAUAUUUUGGAAAAAUAUUAAUGUGCUUUUUCUCUUUUACUUUUCUGAAUAUCUGACAUUCUCUCUAUCUGCCUAAGGCAUUCAUUUACAUGGAGAGAUUAAGAUUGUUCUAAAAUACUUACCAAAACAACAAAAACAUUAUUAUUCACCUUUUGACUUUCAAAAUAAGAGUUUUAUAGUUUUUUGAUAUAUAAUUGAAAUACAAUAAACUGAAUAUAUUGAAAGUGUACAAUCUGAUGAGUUUCAACGUAAGUGAAAUGGCCAUCACAAUCAAAAUAAUGAACAUAUCCUCACCUCCAAAAGUUUCCUGGCUCCCCAACUCGGUUCUCAGGCAAGCACUGAUUUGCUCUCUGUUACUACAGAUUAAUUUGCAUUUUCUAGAAUUUUAUAUAAGUGGAAUCAUACAGUAUUUACACAUUUUGUCUGGUUUCUUUCACUCUGCAUAAUUAUUUUCAGACUCAUUUUUAUUGCUGCAGGAAUUGAUAGUUCCCUCCUUUUUAUUGCUGUGUAAAAUUCCAUUGUAUGAUACAGUGCAAUUUGUUUAUUUACCAGUUGAUGGGCCUUUGGUUGUUUCCAGUUUUUGGCUGCUACAAAUAAAGCUGCUAUGAACGUUUGUGUGCAUGUCUUUGUGCGGACAUAUGCUUUCAUUUCUCUUGGGAAAAUACCUAGGAGUGUAAUGUCGGUGUCACCUCAUAGAUGUAUUUUUAUUGUUUUAAGAAAUUGGCUGUUCCAAAAAGUAGUUGCACCAUUUUAUACUCCCACUAACAGGGUGAGUUCCAGUUGCUCCAUAUCUUCACCAACACUUAAUAUGGCCAGUCUAUACUUUUAACCAUUCUAGUAGGUGCAUAUAAGGUAAUAUGGUUUGGAUCUGUGUCCCUGCCCAAAUCUCAUGUUGAAUUGUAGUGUUGGAAGUGGGGCCUACUGGGAAAUGAUUGGAUCAUGGGGCUGGUUUCCAACGGUUUAGCACCAUCUCCUUGGUGCUGUCUUGUGAUAGAGUUCUCGUGAGGUCUAGUUGUUUAAAAGUGUGUAGCACCUCCCCCUGCUUCCUCCUGCUCCAGCCAUGUAAGAUGUGCCUGCUUCCCCUUUGCCUUCCGCCAUGAUUGUAAGUUUCCUGAGGCCUCUCCAGGAGCAGAUGCUGCCAUGCUUCCUGUACAGCCUGCAGAAUUGUCAGCCAAUUAAAC